AACAAUGACAAAUUAAGAAUACUUAUGGAAGUUAGGUGCUCUUUGGAAGAAGUGUGUUUGAGGCUACCGAUGCUUGUUGUAGGAAUAUUUAGACCAGUGGUUUCCAAGUGGGAGUUUCAGGUGGGAACACCUCAGAUAUCUCCCUUGGGCUGGGGAGUUUUACACUGGAUGAUUUAGUACUGUGAGUCACAGGAUACUUUGGGAGUCUUUGACACCUUCCAAGAUGUUGCAGCUGUCUCUUACAUCAGUGCAGCUGAGUCCAUUAUGGCUCAGCAACAAGAGAUGAAUAUCUUCAGGUUAAGCAUGAGUGUUCCAGGGAGUUAUCACAGCUGACUCAUCUGGGAAACUGCACGGACUAUUCCAAGAGGCAAGGGAAAGGGCCAGAUGCUUGCUUCCCCUUUGAAGGAAGUUGGCUCCUUCAGUACUCAGUAUCUUCUACUAAAGCAAAUGCAAGGUGGUGCUUGGUCCCUCAGAAAGCUGUAUAUUAAGGCUGUUCAAGCUUUUGCAAUUGUUUGUAGUUCGAUUGCCCCUUCCUGCACCUUAGCCAGAAACAACCUUCAUUACAACUCCACUUAUGAUUUCAGGGCAACACUGAAGUCUAGGACAACUCUUGUCCUGCAAGGACUCAGCCAAAGUGACCACAUACACCUGGGACUUGCACACAGAACUCAGCAUCACACAGGUAGCUGUGCAUAUUGUUCAUUGCAAACUGUGCACAACUCAAAAAGGUCUUUGAAGCUCCUUUCAACUUCAGGUGCCUGCUAAAAGUCCUUCUGUCCUAACUAUUGAUAGAAUCUCUGUCAGUUAAAUUAUCCAUUUUAGAAAAAAAAAAGAAAAACAAAAAAGACAACUGCAGAAUCCUUUUCAAAUUGGUUAAAUACUAAAGCAAGUAAAUGAUUGUCAGACUCAGUAUUUAUGGAAAAUAAGCUGGAAAACAAAGAUGACAACCCUCAGCUGAGCUAGUUGCUUGUGGCCUGAAGGCCUUGUAUUAUUCAAUUCUGCAUGAACAUGUGAUUGUUAUUGCAUGAAACUUAAUAUACAAAUGUUCAACACUGCAGUAUU